UACAUAUUUGAUUUUAGUUUUAAUUUUUGUUUUACCGUUAAAAUUGUAUGAAAAUUUUUUGUGUGUAAUUAAGGUUUCACUAUAUGUAAGUUUAAUUUUAGGAGAUAUUAGUUAAUAGGCGAUUCUUUUGUUCUCAGCAUAAAGUAUUAAUGGGUUUAAUAUAUAAAUGUAUGAAUUAGUAACGGUAUUUAAGAUCUGAUAAAUAUUUGUGCCAGCAUUCGCGGUUAUACUUUAGGAUUUAACAAAAAAUAGUUGUUUGUAGUUGUAUGUAGGAUUAAGUAGAUGAUUAUUUAUAUAUUAGUAGUAAAAGGUGAAAUUAGGUUGCUACUGUGUAUAUACUUUAUUUAAGUUAAUUGAAGCUAGUAAAUUUUAAUUAUAGACUAGGAUUAGAUACCCUAUUAUUUUAAAAUGAAUAAUAAAAGAACUGAUUAGUGUUAGAUAUAUGCUUUAAAAUUAAAAGAUUUGGCGGUAGUUUAAUCUUGUUAGAGGAACUUGUUUUUGAAUCGAUAAUCCACGUAUAAUCUUACUUAUUUUUGUAUAGUAUUUCAGCUUGUAUACCAUCAUUAUCAGGUAAUUCUAAAAGGAUGAAUUUCUUAGUUUAAUUGUUUAGUAAAAUUAGAUCAAGGUGCAGCUUAUGAAUAAGUUAAAAUGAGUUACAAUAAAUUAUUUUAUAACGGAAUAAAAAUAUAAUUGUUUUAUGAAGGGGGAUUUAAUUGUAGUGGAUGGAUUAAUAAGCAUUCGCGAAAUAAGCUCUAAACUAUGUACAUAUCGCCCGUCGCUUUCAUUCAUAGAUGAAAUAAGUCGUAACAUAGUAGGUGUAUUGGAAAAUGUAUCUAGAAUGGUA
rnacentral:ncRNA from 1 species